rnacentral:misc_RNA from 1 species
GUGAAUCAUCGAAUCUUUGAACGCAAAUUGCACUCCCUGGUAUUCCGGGGAGUAUGCCUGUUUGAGGGUCGUUAGAAUAAAAAAUCGAUGCGUCGCUCUUUUUUUUAAGGGGGAUCGCGGCGGAAUUGGGCCGGCUUUCAAAUGUUAAUUCAUGGUAAAGGGGCUUGAAAUUCAACCAUCCGGGAAGAAUGAAGCG